UGAUUCCAAGCCUCGUUUUUAAUGAUUUUUACGUUUUUGAGAUCCCGGUAACUCGAUAAAGCUUAUGUUAGCAAUAAUUUAACCUAGGGUUUAUAUUUGGAAAAAUACCCAUAGGUGAAAUUUGUGUAUUUUGAUGUUUUAUGAUAGAAGAUGAAGUUUUAAAUUAUGUUAGACAACUUGUACUACUCGAUUUUAAGCAAAAACGAGUAAAAGGGCUUAAUUGGUAAAAAUACCUAAUAGUC
rnacentral:lncRNA from 1 species